UACAGAGGGGGCAAGCGUUGUUCGGAAUUACUGGGCGUAAAGGGCGCGUAGGCGGCCUUCUAAGUCGAACGUGAAAUCCCCGGGCUCAACCCGGGAACUGCGUCCGAUACUGGGAGGCUUGAAUCCGGGAGAGGGAUGCAGAAUUCCAGGUGUAGCGGUGAAAUGCGUAGAUAUCUGGAGGAAUACCGGUGGCGAAGGCGGCAUCCUGGACCGGCAUUGACGCUGAGGCGCGAAAGCUAGGGGAGCAAAGCGGGG
rnacentral:rRNA from 1 species